AAGCUCGCAACGAACAGAUUACAGAAUUGCAUUCGCUACUUACUUGAAUCAAUCAAAGUUAAAACUGUGUAUCUAUAAAGAAAAAGUGAAAAGAAAUUAGAAAAAAAAUAAUUAACAAAAUUUCGAGCAAGUAAAACGUUUAAAUAAAUGCGAGAAAAUUAAUAAAAUUUGAAAUUAACAGGAAAAAAAUAAGUGAAAAAUAGAAAUAGCGAUAUUUGAACUUGAAUUUUUUAACGCUUAUAUUAUUUGAAGCAUCGCGAGUUCUGAAGCAUUGUUAAAAAAUGAAGUUUCACGUAAACAUUUUAUUGAAAAUUGUGAUAUUAGUGACAAUUGUAAUUCCACCUGAAUCUUGUCAAGAGGAAACGUCAAUGAAUGAGACAUUGAUAAAUGAAACAUCUUCAAAUGAAACAUCUUCAAAUGAAACAUCUUCAAAUGAAAUGUCGGAUAAAGGUUUCGUGCUUGAAGUAAUUCCAUAUAGUAUUUUAUAUGUUCUGGAUAAAGAUGUGGAACCUUCACAAUCGGAUUGUAAAGAGGGUCAAAAGAAAGAUACCUAUGGAAAAUGUCGAAAAAUACUUUAGCACGCAAAGAAGGUCAGCUCCAAUGUACCAUUAAAGUUGGCAAAGCGCAAGGAUGGAAAAGCAGAAGGGAAGCAUCUUAAAGGACUAACUAGAAAGAGGAGAAAAGCAAGAGAAAGAAAGAGCGAGUACGGAAUUAAAUAAAUAAAAUUCUUAUGCUGUAUGUUACAGUAGAUUGAAUCACUUACUUCAUUUCCUCUAUGUUUUUUCACAAAUAAUUCUUUAUACCUGCAGUUUUCUACCGUUUCGUCAAAUAUAAGAAUAAAUGUAUUUCCUAACAUUUUCUCUCAAUAUCUUUCAAGAUAUUGAGAAAAAAUAUAUAACUUUUGUAUAAAGUAUAUUAUCAGUUUCUUGA